rnacentral:rRNA from 1 species
CAGUAGCCACGGUAAUACGGAGGGUGCAAGCGUUAAUCGGAAUUACUGGGCGUAAAGCGCACGCAGGCGGUCUGUCAAGUCAGAUGUGAAAUCCCCGGGCUUAACCUGGGAACUGCAUUUGAAACUGGCAGGCUAGAGUCUUGUAGAGGGGGGUAGAAUUCCAGGUGUAGCGGUGAAAUGCGUAGAGAUCUGGAGGAAUACCGGUGGCGAAGGCGGCCCCCUGGACAAAGACUGACGCUCAGGUGCGAAAGCGUGGGGAGCAAACAGGAUUAGAUACCCGAGUAGUCCCUGUCUCUUAUAC